UCUCUGAUGGUCCAGUGGUUAGGACUCUGCACUUCGACUGCAGAGGGCAUGGGUUUGAUCCCUGGUCUAAGAA
rnacentral:tRNA from 1 species